CCUACGGGUGGCAGCAGUGGGGAAUAUUGCACAAUGGGGGAAACCCUGAUGCAGCGACGCCGCGUGAGUGAAGAAGGAUCUCGGUACGUAAAGCUCUACCAGCAGGGAAGAUAAUGACGGUACCUGACCAAGAAGCCCCUGCGAACUACGGGCCAGCAGCCGCGGUAAUACGUCGGGGGCAAGCGUUAUCCGGAUUUACUGGGUGUAAAGGGAGCGUAGACGGCAGCACAAGUCUGGAGUGAAAGCCCGGGGCUCAACCCGGGAACGGCAUUGGAAACUGGGCAGCUUGAGUGCAGAAGGGGUAAGCGGAAUUCCUAGUGUAGCGGUGAAAUGCGUAGAUAUAAGGAGGAACACCAGUGGCGAAGGCGACUUACUGGACUGUAACUGACGUUGAGGCUCGAAAGCGUGGGGAGCAAACAGGAUUAGAUACCCGGGUAGUC
rnacentral:rRNA from 1 species